UAACUUUAGUCCUUUUAUUUUUACAGGAAAGUGGAGAGAAUGGCACGGCACGAUGAGAUCCGCAGGAAGUAUGGUCUGAGCCGCGACUCGGACCACCCAUACAGCAAGUUUGAGAACGAAUGAAGCAGCUGUACUGGAGGAGUUCCACAGGCAGCACGUUGAGCUGCUCCUCAGUUUUAGCUUACUCUUGCCCAGGCUCAUACAAAGCACUCACCAAUGAGACAAACACUUGAGUGUUGUCCAGCAGAAUCAUCUGUUCUCACUUUUCAAAUAAAAAUGCUUAAUUUCAACUUGUGAUCCUUGAUGACGGUGCGAUGUUUUGUGUUGGACAGAUGCUGAAGCUUGUUUUUAAACUUGCAUCUGUGCAAAUUAAUUUUGUUCUCAAGUGUCAUUACAUGAAUUAUUGCUUUUUAGUUAUUGUAGUGUCAUAUUAAUCUUUUCACUUUGUACAUACAGUACAGUUAUGAAAUAAAGAUCUGUGAUUGUACCACA